UACGGAAGGCAGCAGUGGGGAAUAUUGCACAAUGGGCGCAAGCCUGAUGCAGCCAUGCCGCGUGUAUGAAGAAGGCCUUCGGGUUGUAAAGUACUUUCAGUCGUGAGGAAGGUGUUAAGGUUAAUAACCUUAGCAAUUGACGUUAGCGACAGAAGAAGCACCGGCUAACUCCGUGCCAGCAGCCGCGGUAAUACGGAGGGUGCGAGCGUUAAUCGGAAUUACUGGGCGUAAAAGGGCACGCAGGCGGUUAAUUAAGUUGGAUGUGAAAUCCCCGGGCUUAACCUGGGAAUGGCAUUCAAGACUGGUUAGCUAGAGUCUUGUAGAGGGGGUAGAAUUCCAUGUGUAGCGGUGAAAUGCGUAGAGAUGUGAAGGAAUACCGGUGGCGAAGGCGGCCCCUGGACAAAGACUGACGCUCAUGUGCGAAAGCGUGGGGAGCAAACAGGAUUAGAUACC
rnacentral:rRNA from 1 species